rnacentral:misc_RNA from 1 species
AAGGAUCAUUAACACGUUUUCGUUCCAAAAAAACGUUUUCUUUGACCCAUUUAUUUUCUGUGCACCCCCUUCGAAACCGGCCUCCUGAGCGGUCCUCCGGGUUUACUCGGAUGUGAUCUGUUCGGGCGUCUUUGGGGAUCAACAGACAGGGUGUCACAACCCAGUUUGCCUCUUAGGCGUUGCCAUCAACCCAAACCCUUUAAUCUAAUUGUCUGAACUCGAAGUUGAAUGUAACAGUUCAACGACUUAAAAUCAAUAACAACUCUUAACAACGGAUAUCUUGGUUCUC